AUUGAACGCUGGCGGCAGGCCUAACACAUGCAAGUCGAACGAGUGGCGGACGGGUGAGUAAUGUCUGGGAAACUGCCUGAUGGAGGGGGAUAACUACUGGAAACGGUAGCUAAUACCGCAUACCAUCAGAUGUGCCCAGCUGGGAUUAGCUAGUAGGUGGGGUAACGGCUCACCCAGGCGACGAUCCCUAGCUGGUCUGAGAGGAUGACCCGCCACACUGGAACGGAGACACGGUCCAGACUCCUACGGGAGGCAGCAGUGGGGAAUAUUUCACAAUGGGCGCAAGCCUGAUGCAGCCAUGCCGCGUGUGUGAAGAAGGCCUUCGGGUUGUAAAGCACUUUCAGCGGGGAGGCGUUACCCGCAGAAGAAGCACCGGCUAACUCCGUGCCAGCAGCCGCGGUAAUAC
rnacentral:rRNA from 1 species